ACAAACUCAUUCACAAAAAAGAAAAGCAAGAAUCUGUUGGAGAGCAAAUUAUAGGCGACAAGAGAGAGAGAGCAAUUAUAGGCGACGAGUGAGAGCAAACAUGCAUGAUCAAGUCAAGAGAGUACGGUGGUUUUUGAAGACGAAUAAGGCUGCGAACACAAAAUCAAAAGAAUUGUCAGCAGAAUUAAGGGGUUAACUCAGUCGUCAUUUGAUAGCGCCAGCGCCAAGAACUUGGUGAUAGUGAAAGGGAUCAUUGACGUCAAAACAACUCAUUCCUUAUCUCAAGAUUAAACGCACCGUCGAAGUUGUUCCGGCCAAAACAGAGUAGGCAGUGGCUGAGGUACAAAAUCCUUUCAUCAUUAGUCUAUUUGUAGUAUGUAUGUAGAUUUUAUGGGAAACUUGUUUUAAAUCGUUCUACACGGAUUUUAAACUGUUUUGCUUUGUCAAAACUUUUCUUUUUGGAGGGAGAUUUUUUAAAAAAAUUACCUAAUUGGUAAUUGAAACUUAUGUGUAUUCUCAUAGUGUGUCGAAACAGAUAGAAUGUGGGUCCUGUCAUUGAUUUGAUUGUUAGAGAACGUUAUGCUUCAUUUGUUUCGCACAUUUGGGAUAACUAAGUUCCUCUUAAUCAGUCUAGUGAUUUAAAAAAUUUCCCUAUCGUGUUUUAAUGUUUUGUAAAAAGUUUAAAAUCCUUUUGAACUCUUUUUUGUCAAAGCUUUUUAGAGGAAUUUUCAUAAUUACUUAAUUGAUCCGGACGAAGGAUGGAAAAGAUAUUGAAGAAGAACUUUGGUAUGUAUGAUAUGGUUUUGCAGCCAAAACAACUUUUAACGAUAUAAUAGAGUAUCUUUAAAAGUUGCUUGAGUGUUCAAUAGGCAUUAUAACAAUGAUAAAAGUUAAAGCCAAGUUGCUUAAGUGUUCAAUAGGCAUUAUAACUAACAAUGAUAAGAGUUAAAGUCAAGUUGCUUAAGUGUUCAAUUGUGGAAGUUUCCACUUUGUGUGGCUAAUAGAGACAAAACAUGAAGAAGAGUUGGAAUCGACAAAGAGGAUUUCCACCAAGGAAGCAAACAACGUCUUUUUCUUACGUCAUUUAACCAAACGUGAUUCUUACGUCAAUAUAACCAGACGUGACUCUCACGUCCACUUCUUUUCUCUCUUAAACUGACUUAUGAGGUGAAUGCUCUCGCAACGGGGACAUUUGUGUAAGCUCU